rfam:Pseudomonas sp. VI4.1 NODE_51_length_47539_cov_18.2341, whole genome shotgun sequence.
UGUCAUGGCGGCUGUGCGCGGGAGAUCUUCGGAUCUGCCGGGUUCCUAGAGUCCUGGUCUGCGAACCCGCGUACAGCUGCCACCUUU